AAGGGCCUACGGGAGGCAGCAGUAGGGAAUCUUCCACAAUGGGCGAAAGCCUGAUGGAGCAACGCCGCGUGGGUGAAGAAGGUCUUCGGAUCGUAAAACCCUGUUGUUAGAGAAGAAAGUGCGUGAGAGUAACUGUUCACGUUUCGACGGUAUCUAACCAGAAAGCAUCGGCUAACUCCGUGCCAGCAGCCGCGGUAAUACGGAGGAUGCGAGCGUUAUCCGGAUUUAUUGGGUUUAAAGGGAGCGUAGACGGCUGCGCAAGUCUGAAGUGAAAGCCCGGGGCUCAACCCCGGGACUGCUUUGGA
rnacentral:rRNA from 1 species